UACAGAGGUCUCAAGCGUUGUUCGGAUUCAUUGGGCGUAAAGGGUGUGUAGGUGGCGCCGUAAGUCGGGUGUGAAAUUUCGGAGCUUAACUCCGAAACUGCAUUCGAUACUGCGGUGCUUGAGGACUGGAGAGGAGACUGGAAUUCUCGGUGUAGCAGUGAAAUGCGUAGAUAUCGAGAGGAACACCAGCGGCGAAGGCGAGUCUCUGGACAAUUCCUGACGCUGAGGCACGAAAGCCAGGGGAGCAAACGGG
rnacentral:rRNA from 1 species